UGAGUAACGCGUGGGUAACCUGCCCUUAAGUCUGGGAUACCAUUUGGAAACAGAUGCUAAUACCGGAUAAAAGCUACUUUCGCAUGAAAGAAGUUUAAAAGGCGGCGUAAGCUGUCGCUAAAGGAUGGACCUGCGAUGUAUUAGCUAGUUGGUAAGGUAACGGCUUACCAAGGCGAUGAUGCAUAGCCGAGUUGAGAGACUGAUCGGCCACAUUGGGACUGAGACACGGCCCAAACUCCUACGGGAGGCAGCAGAC
rnacentral:rRNA from 1 species